CUUCGCCCUCACUCUGAGUGGAGUCUGGCCCAAGGGCAGUGUCUUCAGCUCUGAGCUCUGUGCUUUUCUUCAUUUGUAUUGUAACAAACCUUUCAAUUGUUGGGUGUUGAACGUUUUCUCAACACCCUGAGUGCCACCUCUUUUGCCGAGGAUGCCUCUGUAGAGGCACCCAGCAGCCCUUUGUGUGAUCCGAGGGUGAAGAUGAACAGCCUGGAGAGCAGCCAAGAGUCCUGCUGGACACAGGAAGGCAGCGAACAGGGAUUUGAAGACCUCAAACAAAAUUCUCUCAGAUUGGACUCUCCUGCCUCCAUCUUGGCCAAAUUGCUAGAGAAAUACAUUCAAGAAAAAUGGAGAGAGAAUACAACCUGUGAACCAUCUGUUGGCAGCGAACAUCUACUCCGCAUUCUUUCAGAAGCCCAAGCAGGUGAAGUAGCUACUGUCUGAGUGUCACCAAAGUGCCAGAGGAAAGAACUCUUAAUGUCACAGCCCAGCCCUUAUGCUUUGACCCAGAAGUGACGACUCAUUGUACACUACUUGUCUGUUUCCAUCCAACUAUAGGAAGCCCAGAACUGUAACUAUUGAGUCCAGAAGACAGAGAAUAAGACAUAUAGUAAAUAAAAGUCUUGGUGAUGACUUGCUUCAGUUACUCUUUCAGUUAAAAUAUGCCUUAAUAGCCUCCAGCUUGAUGUACAUAUGUGUUUUCAUUUUUUCUAAAGCUAGUAAGCCAUAAUUGGGCAAAUAACAACUUCACAGUGGUCACUUUCAUUUUCUUGUUACAUUUAUCAAGGAAAUAUAUCUACAGAAAAUGUAUAAUUAUGAAAAUUGAGAGACUAAAAUGAAACAAAAAUUGAUUUGACUGCUGUGCAGAAGAGGAGACUGACAUCAAGAAAUAGAGUUUAUUCAAAUUAAAAUAGACACUGAAUGUAAAUAUAGGAAUAUGUUAAUAAUAACAAACAAGUACUUUUUGGUUUAUUCCAAUACAUGUUAACUCAUUCAGGUAUUGCACUCAGGAAAAGGUGGCAAAUUUAAAGUAGGAAGUAAUGUUGGGAAUGUUUGUUUUCUAGCUAGAAAAUACAGAGCUCACACACUAAAAAGGUUUGUCAGGAUUUUUCAUAGUAAUGUAAAACUUCAUGAAAGUAUUAGCAGAUGAUGUGUAGACUCCUUUUGCUCAUUUACAGGCGUUUCUUAAUGUACAUGUGAUUUCCUUUUAUUUAAACUCUGAGAUAUUUAAUGACACUGUGUUAACCUGAUUUCAAUGCAGCAAAAACAAGCCAGUGUACCUAAGGACCUGUAGCAGUUUAUUUCUUGCUCAUCUUAUGAGGUUGUGGGAAAACUUUGGUCCUUGUGGGAUCACAUGGAUGACUUAUGUUUUCCUAUUCUGGAAACCAAGCUGGAGAAGUAGCCAGGAACUAGGUGAUGCAUGCAGCUUUCAUGAUUAAAUCCCAAAGCAAGAGGUACCAAUGAAAUCAUAAAUUAACCUUUCACACCUCUGCCCAAAUGCAGCAGAAGUUACGGCCAGUGAUGUUCCUCUGGCUAUAGCACAUAUAUGAUCACAACUGAGCCUGACAUCAAUGGGAAAGAGAAUUAUACUCUGCCUAUAGGGAAGCAUAGAGUGCAAAAAAAAUUAAAUGUUCAUGUAAAUAAUAUGGGCUGCCACACUAGUAAAUUUUGCCCAAAAGUCACUGAUUUUUGCUGCAUUUUACAACCAUGAUUCAUUUCCAAAAUGCUUCCCAGUGCUGUGUAAUGAAGAUCAAACAUUGUAUCAAGAACUUGAGAAACCAGUUUUAUUUGAAACUUGAACUCCAUUCAUUCAUUCAUUCAGUCAGUCACUGUUACAGCUCAUAACUAGAUGUCCCUUCAAAGCCUCAGACAAUCAUACGUGGGACUUUUCAGAGAUGGCUGGAUUUAGGGUGUAUGAUGCUGAGAUUAAGGGUGCCCCAUCCUGAUGUGAGUGCUAUCCAUGUAAAUGGUAGCCUGAGGUAGAAUAUAAGAGACAGAAGGUUUCUGCCACUUCUUCUGGUACUUCACUGCUUUAUUGCCUUUUACCUGCCCUGCUUUGCUAUGGGCUUUUCUCUUUGUGAUAGCCUUCUGUGAUGCCACUUUGCCUUGGAGCCAGCUGACUAUGGACUGAAACCUCUACAAACUGUGAGUCAAAAUAAAUCUCUUCCUUUAACUUUGGGUGUUGAGUAUUUUG
rnacentral:lncRNA from 1 species